rnacentral:rRNA from 1 species
AGUCUAGGCGGUCCAGUAAGUGGGAUGUGAAAUGCUCCGGCUCACCCGGAGUACUGCAUCCCAAACUGCUGAGCUUGAGUAUGGGAGAGGAUGAGGGAAUUCCUGGUGUAGCGGUGAAAUGCGUAGAUAUCAGGAGGAACACCGGUGGCGAAGGCGCUCAUCUGGCCCAAUACUGAGCUGAGACUCGAAAGGCUAGGGGAAGCAAACG